rnacentral:lncRNA from 1 species
CUUCGCCGCUUCUCCAUUCGGCUCUUCAUGAGGUACAUUUCUUCCCAGUUCAGUAAAAGCAUUUCCACCGAGAUUACAAUCAUCAGGUGCCACAAAGUCGGCUGGGAACGACUGCAAACCAUGAUUGUGCAUAUUAAAUGCAUUCCGCAACAUACCUUCCAUGCCAUCCCCUCUAACAGACUGAUGGUAAGCAGUACCAGGAUAAGAUACAUCCAUCGUUGAAGAGGAAGUACUAGGCGGGCAUUCUCCAUGAAAAAAACCAUUGUUUAUAACCCCGAACAAACUCAUCUACAAUUAGAUGCUCGUAUACAACUUCACGAUAAUGCCAGUUAAUGUUGACACACUUCUUACACGGGCAAAGAAUCAUGUUCUCUUGGCUUGCAUAUUGAAAUGUAAAAUCUAGAAA